UUCCUUAGUAGCUCAGGGGUAGAGUGGUCGGCUGUUAACCGAUUGGUCGUAGGUUCAAAUCCUUCUUGAGGAGA
rnacentral:tRNA from 1 species